rnacentral:rRNA from 1 species
AUUGAACGCUGGCGGCAUGCCUUACACAUGCAAGUCGAACGGCAGCACGGGAGCAAUCCUGGUGGCGAGUGGCGAACGGGUGAGUAAUGUAUCGGAACGUACCUUUCAGUGGGGGAUAACGUAGCGAAGUUACGCUAAUACCGCAUAUUCUGUGAGCAGGAAAGCAGGGGAGUCGCAAGACCUUGCGCUGAUUGAGCGGCCGAUAUCAGAUUAGCUAGUUGGUGAGGUAAAGGCUCACCAAGGCGACGAUCUGUAGCGGGUCUGAGAGGAUGAUCCGCCACACUGGAACUGAGACACGGUCCAGACUCCUACGGGAGGCAGCAGUGGGGAAGUUUUGGACAAUGGGGGCGAACCCUGAUCCAGCCAUGCCGCGUGAGUGAAGAAGGCCUCGGUUGGUAAGUACGU